GAACCCGUAGCUCAGUUGGCUAGAGCGUUCCCUUGACGUGGGAAAGGUCAGAGGUUCAAGUCCUCUCGGGUUCACAA
rnacentral:tRNA from 1 species